UAGGGUGAAGCUAGAGGAAACUCUAGUAGAGGCUUGUAGUAGUUCUAACGUGCAAAUUAAUUGUUAAA
rnacentral:rRNA from 1 species